rnacentral:lncRNA from 1 species
UGAUGAUGAUGAAUUCAAACUCCGACAGCCGUAUCUCACUCUGGUUCCGACGAUGACGAUAUUGUCACUGAUGUUGACGAUGGUGACGAUACUGAUGGAGAUGAAUGGCAGCGACAGUGGUGCGAUGGUGUGGAGGAUCCGACGCAAAUAACUUCGGUCGUAUCAAUAACGGUGGUGGUGGGUUCGUGGUGGUGACAGUGGUGAGCGUCUAAGGUUGUGGAGGUGAUGAUUACUUCUGAUCGACUUGGAGAUGAGUUUCAGCUCGGUUUCGGUUCAGGGUUCAUGAUGCAGCUCGGUCAACUCACGGUUCGGGUUACGUCUCGGCUCAGCUUGGGUUGAUUCGGGUCAAAGAUGUGUACGGUCAUCAGGUCAGUUUUGGGUUCAUGACUCGAUUUGGGUCCAGUUAAAACCAAGUCCACUGCAGGUUCUCGUUUCGAGUCAACUGGUCAGCCACGGUUCGGGUGCGGUUCGAUGGGCCAGAUUUUGGUUCGUAAUAAUUUUGGUCAACUGUGGUCAACCCCGGUCAACAUCAGGUCA